GGCUCCCUUGAGUAUGUGGUGGAGGGAGGUUGGCGUCCUGGACACAGAGGUGGAAGCUUCACACACUCUGCCCUGUCCCUCUCUCUGUUCCAUUUGGCUGCCUGUACCUGGGUUGUGUCCUUGAUGAUAAACCACCAGUCCGCGGACUCACCUAGCAGGCUUUUAAGAAACACCGGUCACCUGCCCUGAACUCAAGAGUUUCCGUUUUCAACUGCGCUGGGGGUAGAGAGCGGAGGGACGCGAAUGGGGAGGUUCCCAGCGCCAUGUUGGUUUGAAGGCUUUCCAGGUGAUGCUAAUUGCAGUCCUGAUGAAGAACCACUAGGUUUGGUUUGCGAUUCAGAUGAGAAAGAAGGAAUUGGCAACAGUCUCAUUUCACUGGUGAGUUUGCUGAAGUGUUAUCACAAGACAACCAGAAUGAUGGAUGAGCUCUUCAGUGAGUAAAUUUCCAAGCCAUCAAGAAGAAAUACGGUUCUCUCUCCAGCGUUCCAACAGGAGCCAUUCCAACAUCACUUGAACCAUCAGCUCAAUGAAAACUGGCCUUUUCCUAUGUUUGGUUCACUGUUGGGACCCGGCACAUAGGGAAGAACCUCAUCAAUAACAAUACUCAGUGGAUUUUCCUUAAAUUACUGAGACUGUGGAAGGCUGGUUGUGUUGGAGGUACUCUGCAAGGCAUUGGAAAUCCUGGGAAAGUAAAUCCAGGUCCACAACCUCAUCAUCUACCAGGAGCUGUGGAAUCCGAGUGCGGCUGCCAAGAGGAAUCCAGAAAAGCCAAAGAGCCCAAGCAUGUUAGACCUUCCUGUAGCCACACACACACACCUCAAACCCCAAGGAAGUGAGUGAGAAUCACCAGCAAGGAGACAGCCAACCAGGAUCUCGUCCCGGAUACCGCACUACAUUUGUUCAUCGUGUCUAAGACACCUUCGAUCUAUGACCAUUUCUCUGACAUGUUUUUGAUGACCUUUACAGUUUCACGGAGUGCAGGCGCUGAGCUGCGCUGUUUUGUGUUUCUUUCUUUCUUUUUUUUAUUCUGAAGCCAGACCGUCUUUCCUCACAGCUCCAGGGCUGCAUCGCUGCGGGCACGCCGAGCUUCUCCUGGUUACCUGAGCUGCUGUUGCUGUCUCCUGGCUUCGGCUUCUUCAUGGCGCACGGGAACCCGGCAUCAUCGGUCUACGCAGCGCAGAAGAAGGACCUGCUGGUGGAGCUCUGGCCGGGGUCCCCUCGCAGGCAGGCGAGGGGACUUGGAGGACAGGGUGAUGCGGGAGAAGACCCGGGGUGGGAUGGAUAGAAAGAACACCAAGGACCGGGCAGGAGAAGUUAGGAAUUUGAUCCGUCCAGUGCCCACUGGUCUUCCCCACGGCGCACCCAGCUCAGGCUGCUCUUGGGGAUUAGUCUGGGAGGAAAGACCCAUGGCGAGAUGUGGUGGCAUUUUACUUGAGAGUGAAGCUGAAGAUGGAUAAACCUGGUCUCUGAUGUGUCUGCCUGCCUGCCUGCCGACGAUGCAGAGUUGGAGAAAGGCAGAGCGAGGGAGCGCCUGAGAAGAAAGAGGAGAGGCGGAAUGCCGUUCGAUUGUCUGCCGCUGGCCCUGCAUUCUCAUUCUAGGGAGGAAGGCAUAAUUUAUAACCCAGUCUAUGGGUGGAAGAACUGUAAAUUGUAGUCUGGAUGUCCCCGGUGCUGUCAAGGAAAAAACUGAUGGGCUAGGUGACUGUACCAGUGUCCCCAGGGAGAAGAUCAGCCUUGCAGCAUGGAUUUAAAUGCAUGUGCAUGCAUGUAGAGACAUGAAAAGAGGGCAAUUUCUGACCAGUUUACACAGGAAGUCUGUCACUUGGCUGGAUCAGGCUUGAUUGCAGCUUGUAUUUUCAGCUUCAGCUCAACACCCAUUUCCUGACUAGCUAGAGAGCAUGGCCAAAGCAGCUGCAUGCAGAAUUUUCUUGUUAAUGUGAAAGCAACCCUCCUCAGCUUUAACUCCUUGAAGUUCUGAAUGCUCUGUGCUUCGCUCGGACUGACUGUAGGGUUUUGUUUGCUUCUUCUUCGACAGAUCCCCUGUAAACACAGCUGUAUUCAGUAUGAUGAAAAAUUCUAUCCAGUAAAUAGAAAUCUGAUCAAUUUAAUCAAAAUAAAUGUAUCCCAGAUGACUUUGAGACCAGCUGGCUACCACAGGCUUCAGAUGCUAAGCGUACAAUGGAGAUGAAUGCAAUCUUAUAUUUACGUGUUUCUGAAUUCCCGGAUCAGCCUAUAAUUAAAAAAAGAAAUCCUUUUGUAGGAAAGAGGUGGUCCUACCAGCUCUCAAGGUAGCUGGUUAGAUUCAGGUGCGGAUGCUGUUCAUGAGAUUUGGGAUCACGAUGUCGCAUUUCGAGGGCGUGUGCCAUGUGGCAGAGCAGAGUCAUGCUCCACAUAGAGAAAGCCUGCAUCUACCUUGCCAUCUGGAGACGCGGGUGCCCUUGGAACAGCCUCUGGUGAGGUUGGGGGAGGCACCUGAGGCUUGUUUUAGAUUCCGAUGUGUGGGCUCUGGUGCUCCAAGCCCAGCUCAAAACUGGGGGUGAGGUGCUUUCCCAGUUGUCAUGGGGAGCUCUUCUGGGACGCCUGUCUGGCCCUUCCACUGUUUGUUACUAUUUCUACAAAGGCGGCUCUGUGUGUUGGAUUAUGUUUGGCCAGCUGUUGGCGCAUUCCUGCGGGUGGGGCUGGGUGGGGACCUGAUUACUGUACUUGGAAACUGUAGAUCUCUGUGCGGUGGAGAGCAGGGAGGGAAUGCAAAGAAAGCAGGUUGGAGAAGCUGAUCUCUCUUAGAGAUUUGCUCCAGGUAGUCCUAUAGCACGUGCAGAAAGGCUUCCAGUGUAGAGAAGGAAAGAGGGGAUGAUGGGGGGCGGGGAGCAGUGAGGGAAGGAGAAUGCAACUGAGCAAGCCCAUCAGAGAGAAAAACAGACUUUAGAACUUCAAAGCUGCAUAGACAAGCAGAAUGUCAGCAGCUUGUAAUUAGUGGUUCAUGGUUGCGUCAGCGCCUGCACCUCUCCAAGAAUAACUGUGUGAUGUGUGCCACAGAGUGAAGAAGACAGUCAUAACUAAGUUAUCAAACCUAGUUCAAACCAGGGCAAAUGGAGUCAGGAAUUUUUCUGUGUUUGUAAAUCAAAUCCUGAUGGAUUACACGUCUAAGACUUGCUGGGUUCUGCAUAAUUGAAGGCUGGAUUAUCCAUUUGCGGGGGAGGGUGGAGGGAUAUUGUAUGUUCAUUAAACGAAACUAUGAACCCUUAAAAAUGCAGAUGAAUCGUGCAUGUAAAUAUCAGCGCGCUCUGCGUCAAUACACGGUAUUUCCUCCAAUAGCCCCAAGCAGCUGUUGCCAAUCUCCCCAUAUCUCUGCAUCCACACAGAGUUUUUGUUUGCUCGGUUUUUGUGCAUUCACGUGGAGAGGAGUUAAAAGUUACAGUUCAGAUGAAAUAGGGUCAAUUAAAUGCGAAAAAUCGCAUCUUGGAAUUGGGCAACUGCAGCGGGGUUCUGAUUUUUGUUGCUGGCCCCCGUGUAAACCUUGCCGGAGCCUUGGCGGUCUCGCAGCCAAACAGCCGUCUGUUAGUAAGCCCGUGGGAAGUCGGGGCACCGCAGUGGUGGGGAGGCGAAGGCCACGUUCACUUCCCUCCCUUGUCUCUGGCGCUUAGAGAUUGCCGUGUGUGUGACUCCAGCCCCACAAAGAGCCGGUGGGAGGAGCUGAUUGGUCGGGAGGCUGGGGAUGUUUACUCUUAUUUGUUUUCAGCGCUCCUCCACGGCAUUCAUGCCGUAUUUGUAUUUGUGUUCACGCCGCACAAUUACUCCUCGCCCUGCUUUGUUUCUCUGCCCGAAGAGAAGUCAAUUUUAGUUCAGCUCCCCGGGUUUCGGCCUCCUGGCUAAAAUCCGUCUACGUAUUGCUUUCCCCGGGUCUGCGUUUCCUUUUUUAAUGUGGAUUAGGGGGAAAUCGGGGGCCGGGAAAGCCGUGCAUAUUCAAUCAGUAGCUUUUGGAGCCGCGCCUGUCAGAUAAUUUAAAUAUAUUUACUCUGGGGGUGCCGGAGCUGGCGUGGCCGGAGCCCGUUUUAAUGUACCUCUUCGCUUUCGUCAAGGAGCGGAACCUGCAGGCUCAGAAUGGUGUAUUCUGUGCACCCAACAGGGUGGAAGACAUGAUUUUGUUUGUGUUAGUUCAAACAGCUGGUCAUUAAUGCAGUCCCCAUUUCGCCACUGAAGUGCGGGUGGACGUGAAUGGCUGCCUGAUUAAUGCUGUCCCCUCCGAGGGUCCUUCACCCAGCAGUCAGGCUCGGAGCAGAAUAAUGUAGCAUGAUGUGAUUGCUCUCUAACAGGGUAGUAUGUCAUUGUGUCACCAAGCAAUUGAGGUUAUUACGGGGCAGGGCAGACAGACGGGACAGUGGGGUUACUAGACCGUAGCAUUUUUAGAAAUACAGGCCUGACCUACUUAGAGUUAUUCUCUCUGGCUGGCAGCUGCACGGAGCAUCCAGUCUUCUGAUAGGCUGAGGCUGUUGCUAGGGGGGAAUUAGCUUGAAUUUUUCCACACACAGACUCAGUGACUGAAUGAUAAAAGCUGACUGGAAUUAAAGAGAUUUGGUUUAGUAUUAUACAGAUGGAUCGGCCCCGUUUUUCUUUCUCAAGUGCAAAGGAAGAGUGCAAAAUACAGAUUUUUGUGUCCAUCUUGUUCCUUGACCCUCUGGUUCUCCCCCACCAAAGAACCGCCAGAGCAAGGCAGUUAUGAAAUUUCGGUUAAUCUCUUUUAAAGUCGGGGGUCAUGGAAAUGAUGUUGCAAAUGGCAAGAUAUUUAAGCUUAAAGACCGCUGAGAAUGACUAACAGAAGGUUAGAUUAUUUUUCCUCUUCUGUGCACUAAACUGUUUUGAAGUUGGGCAUGCAUCUUUCAUGCACUGUAUAUUUAAACUCUCUCCCCCUUUUGGGCUUGAACAAAACAUUUAUAUAAAUUCUCUUCUAUCCAAACAGAUAGAAGCUUGCAGUCUCUGGCUUGUUUAAAAUAAGAUGGUAAGGAUUCCAGAUUUGGAUGGGGGAGAAAAAUAUAUAUAACACUUUUUUUUUUUUUUAAUUACAAAGUAUUUUUUUCUGGGAUAUUUUGGGUUUGGCUUAUUUUUUAAAAGCCAGCCUGGUGUUUGUUCUUGUGGAUAAAACUUAACUGCUCCCACCCUACCCUCUUGGCUAAACAAUGUACAGGUUUUUUUUCUCCAGAAGAAAAAGUAUCUGCUGAAUUUAUCUGCAUAUUGUUUUUCCUGGUUGCUCAUAUAAGCAGUGCGUGUAGAAAGUUCACAUAAUCAAUUUUAUAUGAUGACACCCCCUUUUUUUUUAUCUACUCCUGUAUUCUCCCAAGUAUCUCUGAGUUUGUGAUUUUUUAAUAGAUCUUUUCCAGAGGCAGAUUUUUUAAAAUAGCUCCUUUAAUGGAAACUGAAAGUCCAUCAGGAUAAAAAUUAAAACAAUAUAUAGUCAAAAAUACUUUGGUUUUUUUUUUUUUUUGGUUUGUUUCUAAUUGCAUACUAUCUGUGCUUUAUCCACAGUGUCCUUCUGUUACCUUAUCUGUUCCUCUGCUGAAAGUAAUCAUUAUCCUGCCUUUUUGAUUUGAAAUUAAUUUUUGUAAGAACAUGCUGUGAUAUCACAAGUACACAUGGAGCUUGGCUACGUUAGGGAGAGGAAGAAUGUAGUUUCUUAUAAACGUCUAACACUGGAUUCCUUGGCCAUGUGGAAAAAAAGUAAAUUUAGAUGUGGGGUUUUCUUUUCAUUUUAGGAUUUUAAAAGUAUUCAAGUCUAUAUAGUGGUUAUCACUUACACCAGAUAUCAUAGUCAAAAGAAAAAAAAAAUGAUCGAAUGAUACCAUAGCCAAGAAACUCAUCAGUCUUUUCUCUUUUUUAAGCCAGCAAUGUUUACAUUUCAUCAUAUAACUAUAACAUCAAGCUAAAACAGUGUAUUUUCUGAUGUUGUAAUUGAUGUUUCUUACCCUUACUAGCUUUGAGAAUCCCCCAAAUAACAUUUUUUUUGUAAAGAUUUCCAAACAUACUAGUGAUUUUUCUUUACUGAAUAAAAUACCAAUGUAUAUUUUUUGAAUAAAA